CAGCUGUGCGCCUUCGGGCUUGCACGUUGGAUGUGGCAUACUCACAACACACCUGUGCACCUUUCAGAUGUCUAGGGCUGAAAAGCCCUGGCGUUUGCCCUUUACACAAAACACAGUCUUUGAAUGUCAUAUAAACUUAACAAAUACAACUUUCAACAACGGAUCUCUUGGCUCUCGCAUCGAUGAAGAACGCAGCGAAAUGCNAUAAGUAAUGUGAAUUGCAGAAUUCAGUGAAUCAUCNAAUCUUUGAACGCACCUUGCGCCCCAUGGUAUUCCAUGGAGCAUGCCUGUUUGAGUGUCACGUGAAACUAUCACUCUUGUCCUGUCGCAAGACAUGUCAGGAUGUGGACUUGGACUGUGCCGUAGUUGGCUCGUCUUGAAAUGCAUUAGCCGUGCUGGUUAGAUUCGGCCACCUGGUGUGAUAUACGUCUACGCCUACCGUGCUGUCUCUUCCUGAGCGUGGCUCAUAAUCGUCGCUCGUUCGACAACACAAAUUAACGCUCUGGCCUCAAAUCAGGUAGGACUACCCGCUGAACUUAAGCAUAUCAAUAAGCGGAGGAAAAGAAACUAACAAGGAUUCCCCUAGUAACGGCGAGUGAAGCGGGAAAAGCUCAAAUUUAAAAUCUGGCGGUCUAAGGCCGUCCGAGUUGUAGUUUA
rnacentral:rRNA from 1 species